GCGGGCGUGGCGGAAUUGGUAGACGCGCUGGAUUUAGGUUCCAGUGAGGACACUCGUGAAGGUUCAAGUCCUUUCGCCCGCACCA
rnacentral:tRNA from 1 species